rnacentral:rRNA from 1 species
UACGUAGGGUGCGAGCGUUAAUCGGAAUUACUGGGCGUAAAGUGCGCGCAGGCGGUCGUUCAAGUCGAGUGUGAAAGCCCCCGGCUCAACUGGGGAGGGUCAUUCGAUACUGAUCGACUUGAAGGCAGGAGAGGGAAGUGGAAUUCCCGGUGUAGUGGUGAAAUGCGUAGAUAUCGGGAGGAACACCAGUGGCGAAGGCGACUUCCUGGCCUGACCUUGACGCUGAGGCGCGAAAGCUAGGGGAGCAAACGGG